GCAUAUCAAUAAGCGGAGGAAAAGAAACCAACAGGGAUUGCCCUAGUAACGGCGAGUGAAGCGGCAAUAGCUCAAAUUUGAAAGCUGGCUUAUGGCCCGCAUUGUAAUUUGUAGAGGAUGCUUUUAGGCAGCCGCCGGUCUAAGUUCCUUGGAACAGGACGUCAUAGAGGGUGAGAAUCCCGUAUGUGACCGGCUCUGGCACCUUAUGUAAAGCUCCUUCGACGAGUCGAGUUGUUUGGGAAUGCAGCUCUAAAUGGGAGGUAAAUUUCUUCUAAAGCUAAAUACUGGCGAGAGACCGAUAGCGCACAAGUAGAGUGAUCGAAAGAUGAAAAGCACUUUGGAAAGAGAGUUAAAAAGCACGUGAAAUUGUUGAAAGGGAAGCGCUUGCAAUCAGACUUGGACUUGGCUGUUCAACAGGUCUUCUGACCUGCCUAUUCAGUCUUGUCCAGGCCAGCAUCAGUUUCGGCGGCCGGAUAAAGGCCCUAGGAAUGUGGCUUUCCCUUCGGGGGAAGUGUUAUAGCCUAGGGUGUAAUACGGCCAGCUGGGACUGAGGUCCGCGCUUCGGCUAGGAUGCUGGCGUAAUGGUUGUAAGCGGCCCGUCUUGAAACACGGACCAAGGAGUCUAACAUCUAUGCGAGUGUUAGGGUGUCAAACCCUUACGCGUAAUGAAAGUGAACGGAGGUGAGAACCCGCAAGGGUGCAUCAUCGACCGAUCCUGAUGUCUUCGGAUGGAUUUGAGUAAGAGCAUAGCUGUUGGGACCCGAAAGAUGGUGAACUAUGCCUGAAUAGGGUGAAGCCAGAGGAAACUCUGGUGGAGGCUCGCAGCGGUUCUGACGUGCAAAUCGAUCGUCAAAUUUGGGGUAUAGGGGCGAAAGACUAAUCGAACCAUCUAGUAGCUGGUUCCUGCCGA
rnacentral:rRNA from 1 species